GUGUAUCUCUCUCUUAAAAUUGACAAAUUUUCAAUUUAAAUUGAGUAAGUUUGCAUUUAAUAAUUCUGAGUCAGCUGUGCAGAAUCUUUGCACUCUAGCAACUAUAUCGAAGCAUCUGAUCUCUCUCUCUCUCUCUCUCUCUCUCUAUUCUUUUUUCCUGUGUCCUGACAAAUCAACCAAUAAUCUGCUUUUGGUGACAACACUCUGGCAGCCUGUGUUUACUAAGAUCUAUAUGUUAGAUGCAUGUGACUUCACUUUCCCAUCACGAAGUGCUAUAAUUUUUGUUUACUUUGCUAG
rnacentral:lncRNA from 1 species